rnacentral:pre_miRNA from 1 species
UCUUAUGGAUGAGCAAAGAAUUGGUUUCUUGAUAUGGAAACUACUCUUGGUGAAUAUGCUGUGAA